rnacentral:tRNA from 1 species
GGGGAUGUGGCGGAAUGGCAGACGCGCUUGGUUGAGGGCCAAGUGACCGCAAGGUCGUGGAGGUUCAACUCCUCUCAUCCCCACCA